AUGGCUUGGUGGUCAUGGCGAACAGGAAACACCCGAUCCCAUCCCGAACUCGGCCGUGAAACUGUUCAGCGCCAAUGGUACUGCGUCUUAAGGCGUGGGAGAGUCGGUCGCCGCCAGGCCU
rnacentral:rRNA from 1 species